CUGGGAGUGGGUGACGGGUAUUUGGGUGAGCGCUGCCGCCUGGCGCGGUACGCCGCUAUUGGAUGGCAGCGGGGCGUGCACCGCCCCCAGCCUUUGCACACUGCCCGCUCCGCUGCCUAACGACGCCCCGGGAGCCGCGACGGGGUAAGCCUGGGUGCACGGCAGCCAUUGGUGAGGGGGAGGGGCUUAGGCGCAGAGCUGCCCGCUGAUUGGCGGGGCGCGAAGCAGGUAGAACUGCGCAUGCACUUAAGGGACGACGCGGGCUCGGAAGUGGGGUGCGUUGCCAAGAUGUCGACGGCGGCUGUGCCGGAGUUGAAGCAGAUCAGCCGGGAGGAGGCGAUGCGGCUGGGGCCCGGCUGGAGCCACUCGUGCCACGCCAUGCUGUACGCCGCGAACCCCGGGCAGCUCUUCGGGCGCAUCCCCAUGCGUUUCUCGGUGCUGAUGCAGAUGCGCUUUGAUGGGCUGCUGGGCUUCCCCGGGGGCUUCGUGGACCGGCGCUUCUGGUCCCUGGAGGACGGACUGAACCGCGUGCUGGGCCUGGGCCUGGGCUGCCUGCGCCUCACCGAGGCCGACUACCUGAGCUCGCACCUGACCGAGGGCCCGCACCGCGUCGUGGCGCACCUGUACGCGCGGCAGCUGACGCUGGAGCAGCUGCACGCCGUGGAGAUCAGCGCGGUGCACUCGCGCGACCACGGCCUGGAGGUGGGGCCACCGCCCGGGGCCCGUCCUCCGCCCAGGGGUUUGGCUCUGGCUCCGCUGAAGGCACCGAUGGGUACUGGGCCUGGUACGCGUACCUCUGUACACUCAAAAGGAUCGCGUCGGUGGCUUCCCCAACUUCCUGAGCAAUGCGUUCGUCAGCACUGCCAAGUGCCAGCUGCUCUUCGCCCUCAAGGUGCUCAACAUGAUGCCCCAGGAGAAGCUGGCUGAGGCCUUGGCCGCAGCCACUGAGAAGCAGAAGAAAGCCCUGGAGAAGCUGCUGCCCGCCUCCUCCUGAGCCCGGUCUGCAGGCACCUGUGAGGGGAUGGUCUGGAAGCGCAGGCCUAGUGGGCAGUGAGACCAGCAGAGCCGCCUUGCACAGGAAGGCCACCACUGGCAGUCCCCUGCAGCCUGCGACCUGGAGGACACCAGGGUACAGCGGGAGUGUCCACAGCCUCCGCCUGGCCUGGUAAGGAAGGUGCUGCUCACCGAGGCCGAGCGUGGGGAAAGGCACGUUGCUACAGAAAUAAACACCUGCACCCUGCUCA